AAAUUGAAGAGUUUGAUCAUGGCUCAGAUUGAACGCUGGCGGCAGGCCUAACACAUGCAAGUCGAACGGUAACAGGAAGCAGCUUGCUGCUUUGCUGACGAGUGGCGGACGGGUGAGUAAUGUCUGGGAAACUGCCUGAUGGAGGGGGAUAACUACUGGAAACGGUGGCUAAUACCGCAUAACGUCGCAAGACCAAAGAGGGGGACCUUCGGGCCUCUUGCCAUCAGAUGUGCCCAGAUGGGAUUAGCUUGUUGGUGAGGUAACGGCUCACCAAGGCGACGAUCCCUAGCUGGUCUGAGAGGAUGACCAGCCACACUGGAACUGAGACACAGUCCAGACUCCUACGGGAGGCAGCAGUGGGGAAUAUUGCACAAUGGGCGCAAGCCUGAUGCAGCCAUGCCGCGUGUAUGAAGAAGGCCUUCGGGUUGUAAAGUACUUUCAGCGGGGAGGAAGGUGUUG
rnacentral:rRNA from 1 species